AUGCGCAAAGCGCCUCUCGUGUCCUGGGGUCAAGCAGCCCCCAAUGGCCCCUUAAUGCGGGCUCUAUUCUGGAACAUCCGCGGUUUCGGCCAUGAUGGUCGUCGCCGCCAACUAGUGGAGUACAUGCGAGAGGAACACAUUGACAUAGUAGCCGUUCAAGAAACCAUGCGCCUCGAUUUCUCGCUCCCUGAGCUUGACUGUCUGAGCUCCCACCUCUUUGCGUGGCAUUGGCUCCCUUCUAGUGGGAGCGCAGGUCACUCGGGUGGCAUCCUUUUAGGUGUGAAGGAUGCCACCUUCGAGGUGGGCAGCAUGGAUCGGGGAGAAUUCUUCGUCAGCAUGGAGUUGUUCGAGAGAUCUCUCAACUUCAAGUGGGAAGUCAUCAUUGUCUAUGGGCCUGCCGACCAUAGUAGGUCGGCCGCCUUCCUUGAGGAGCUCCACCGGAAGAUCUCUGCUGCCUCCCUUCCUGUGGUAGUGGGCGGCGAUUUUAACCUCCUGCGUGUGGCGGAAGACAAGAGCAAUGAUAAUGUCUGCUUUGCGCGGAUGCAAAUGUUUAAUGACUUCAUUGCUGACCUCGGCCUCCGGGAUAUCGAUAGGAUUAGUGCCCAGUUCACCUGGACCAAUCGGCAAGCCUCCCCGACCCAGUCUGUCUUGGACAGGUCUUAG
rnacentral:rRNA from 1 species